GGGCCAGGAGAUGGAUGUUCCUCCCUCUUAUCCUAGCUGCGAAGGAGAGGAGAUGAUGGAUUAUGUCUUGUUCCUCUAUCAGAGAGUUAGGUGCAUUUGACGGUUGGUGACUUGGGCUUCCAUUGUUGUUCGAGAGGAGUGACCUGCCUAAGAUUUUCUUAAGGCUUUGCAUCGGGGCAUGGAGAAUGAAGCCAAUAGAUCUGUGGGUAUCAGGGCCACCUACAUUGCUUAUCAUAUCUAGC
rnacentral:lncRNA from 1 species